rnacentral:rRNA from 1 species
CCAUGCAUGUCUCAGUACAAGCCGAAUUAAGGUGAAACCGCGAAAGGCUCAUUAAAUCAGUUAUGGUUCCUUAGAUCGUACCCACAAUUACUUGGAUAACUGUGGUAAUUCUAGAGCUAAUACAUGCAAACAGAGCUCCGACCGGAGACGGAAGGAGUGCUUUUAUUAGAUCAAAACCAAUCGGUGGCGGGUGUUCGCGCGCU